rnacentral:lncRNA from 1 species
ACAACUGAAACCGGUAUCUUGUUAUAAAUUCAAUUAACUCUUUCACUCAUAUUAUUUGAAAAUAUGAUUCAAAUCAAACGAAUUAUCAUAGAAUAAUAAUGAAAUUACAUCAAAGAACAUUAGUGCCCAAUGAAUUUAACAAGACUUGAUUAUCUCUCAAAUUAGAUCAAAAGAGCAAUUCAAAAUUUGAAUUCGUUUUAACAUUUCUCCACUAUUAAAAUUGAGUUUCAGAAUCACAAUGAUUAGGUAACUAAUUUUUGUGAGAAUGUUGACUUGUCACUUUACCCAGUAGUAAACAAAUUGUGAAUGAAGAAACAGGUGGCUGAUAAGAUAAAAAUGACAAGACAAGGAAAGUAGCUCACCAGCAUUGCAUUCUAUUCUACACCUGCGUCAAUACUCUUUAUCAGCUUGAAGUGAUUCCCUAUACACCCACCCUGGGAACAUACUUUACCUGCUAACAUUCCAUCACUCUACUGAUACGCUCAAUAGCAUAGCUAUUACCCAGAGAAAACUUAAAUAAUUGUUUUAUUCUAAUUUAUAUUGUUUAUUCAACUUAAGAUUGUUUUAUUCUUUGCUAUAGCUCAUGCAUGUAGAUAUAGUCCACACUUUAUUCAAUAGCAAGCAAUUAUCGCUUGAUUGUGUAUGAAUACAGUGAGUUGACAAUUGUUGAAUUUACCAAGAAAACAACAAUACGAUACUAUAUAGAUUUAAAGUGUCAACCCAUCAAAUUAGAGAAACGAAUGUACAUUGCAUGAAGGUACCUCAUGCAUGUGGAUAUAAUCCACACUUUAUUCAAUAGCAAGCAAUUGUUUGAUUGUGUAUGAAUACAGUAAGUUGAAAAUUGGUGAAUUCAGCAAGAAAAUAACAAUACGAUACUAUAAAUAUUUAAAGUGUUGAACCAUCAAAUUGGAGAAACGAACAUACAAUGCUCAAGUGGAAAAUUUGUAAAUGCAUCAUAAAGUAAUUUAAAAUCAGUUGCGCUGAGUUGCUUGAUUCUAUUACUCGAACAUAUAAUACGGUGCAUAUUAUAAUUUGGUUCAUUAAGUGAAUUAGUCACAUAAAGCUCAAUCAGUAAUAACACAGAACACUCAUAUAGAUAAUUACAAUUUUUAUAGAAAUUUUUAGUCACUUGGUUGAGUACUGUAUAGACUAUUCUUAGUUCUUUAGUGCUUUGUCGGAUAGUAAGAUUGGAUCAAAUACGACGGAAGAUCACCAUUUUUGAAUCACCUAUAAGGAAACAUUGGAAUAUGAAUAACAUGCUGCCACCCAAGCUCCUCAUUAACUCUUUGAGACUUCAAAAAUCAUGCAUCCUGGUUUUCUUGAUUCUUGCUAGUAUUCAGUUCGAAUUCCUAAAUGCAGAUAAUUCACUGGAAACAAGUGGAACUAAUAAUGAGAAAGAACAAAACUUCAUGAGAGAAAUCAUGGAAACAUCGCAGGAUAAUUUAUUGAGAAAAGCAAGAGAUCACACAAUUCUUGGUUACUUACUGCUUCCUUUGGCUAUUAUUAUUUUUACAAUAAACACAAUAGGUGAUUUCAUUAUUAAAAUUUUUCAUUUGAAUUAGAAUUUGCAUUGAAAUAAGUAUUCGAUAGUAAAAUUAUUGAAAAAAUGUAGUCUCAAAUAUUACCAGGACAUUAUUACAGUAAAGGAAAUAGAACAAUACUGUGGUUCAUCAUAAUGUUAUUCUCCAACUGAUUGGAAUAAUUUCGAUUUGAUAUGGAAAGCCGUUUUGAAUCAAUGAGUAGAUUAUAAAUAUUAUGUGCAGAUUUCAUCAGAUAUUAUGAAUCUAUGUGAACCAAUAAAGCUUGAACAUCCAUCAUCAAUGGUGAUUGAUUUUCGAUUAAAUAUUCUUAUCUGAAUGCUUAAAAUUUGAAUACAAUUUUAAAAUUUUCAAAAGUUUUUUCUUUUUUGAAGUGUUAAUCAACUAAAAUGAAAUCUGUAUCUUAUAAUAUUUUUGUUAAUUAUGUUGUCACCAAAUGAAUAAGUGAUUAAAUACGGACUUGACCGUUAUAAUCAUAUACUUUUUUUUAAUAAUGGCAUUCAAAUAGCAUUCAUUACUAAUAUUUCCAUGUUUAAGGUUUAUUCACUAAAUUCACUAAAUUAAACUCAAUUUACUGAAGAAAUAUGAAAACCUAGAUGCUGGGUAGUAUGGAGGUAUGUGAGAUGUGGGAGAAUAAAUUCAUGAAAAAAGUUCAUAACUAUACUGGAGAAUCGCUAUACAUUGAUUGAUUGUUUUUUCCUAUGACUAUACGUUUAUCUAUGAUGAGAAUAUGUAAAUGAUUGAGUGAUUGUGCACCUGCCCGGCUACUAACUGCAUUGAUAUGCAAGUGUUUAUGGAUGUGGUCCGUGAUCCGUGGUCGGUGGGUGUUUUCGUAUGCCGACAGAGCUCUCUCCCGUGACGUACCGGAAGCUCCGUGAUGAAUAUGCAAUGAACAAAUCUCGCGGUUUCCGUUCGGACUGGCUGCCCAACUCUCCAAUGUCCAUCCGAUCGAGCCCUGCGAUUUACAAGUUUGUAAACAUUUUUAAUGAAAAAAAAAUAUUGUUUUGUUUUGAAGAUGUUU